AUUGAACGCUGGCGGCAUGCCUUACACAUGCAAGUCGAACGGUAACAGGUCUUCGGAUGCUGACGAGUGGCGAACGGGUGAGUAAUACAUCGGAACGUGCCUAGUAGUGGGGGAUAGCUACUCGAAAGAGUGGCUAAUACCGCAUGAGAUCUACGGAUGAAAGCAGGGGAUCGCCAGACCUUGUGCUACUAGAGCGGCCGAUGGCAGAUUAGGUAGUUGGUGGGAUAAAAGCUUACCAAGCCGACGAUCUGUAGCUGGUCUGAGAGGACGAUCAGCCACACUGGGACUGAGACACGGCCCAGACUCCUACGGGAGGCAGCAGUGGGGAAUUUUGGACAAUGGGCGCAAGCCUGAUCCAGCAAUGCCGCGUGCAGGAUGAAGGCCUUCGGGUUGUAAACUGCUUUUGUACGGAACGAAAAGCCCUGGGUUAAUACCCUGGGGUCAUGACGGUACCGUAAGAAUAAGCACCGGCUAACUACGUGCCAGCCGCCGCAGUAACAC
rnacentral:rRNA from 1 species